rnacentral:tRNA from 2 species
GCCGAAGUGGUGGAACUGGCAGACGCGCUGGACUCAAAAUCCAGUGGUAGCAAUACCGUGCGGGUUCGACUCCCGCCUUCGGCA